rnacentral:rRNA from 1 species
UACGUAGGGUGCAAGCGUUAAUCGGAAUUACUGGGCGUAAAGCGUGCGCAGGCGGUUUUGUAAGUCUGACGUGAAAUCCCCGGGCUUAACCUGGGAAUUGCGUUGGAGACUGCAAGGCUAGAAUCUGGCAGAGGGGGGUAGAACUCCACGUGUAGCAGUGAAAUGCGUAGAGAUGUGGAGGAACACCGAUGGCGAAGGCAGCCCCCUGGGUCAAGAUUGACGCUCAUGCACGAAAGCGUGGGGAGCAAACAGG